GUCAUUUUUAUCGGUAGUUUACUUUGUCAAACACAACAAGCGCAAAUGUUACAGGGAAGGAGGGUUGAUGAGAGCAGUAGCAGCAGCCACGCAAUUGCGCAACCACCACCACUCCAACCCAACAACACUUCCCCCCCACUAACUGAUUUGUAAUGAUCCUUCCGCAGGUUCACCUACGGAAA
rnacentral:misc_RNA from 1 species